AAAAAAAAUACAAAAACUAUCACUAGAUCCUAGUGAUAUUAACUUUGAGA
rnacentral:sRNA from 1 species